AGUAUACUUAAGAGUGAUGUUAUCUGAGUUAAGUAGUUUAAGUAUGUUGAGUGGAUCUUUAAGCACACCACAGUGAACACACUGGGGAUAUGUACUUUUCUGGAGAACCCAAAGGUGCUAGAUCCCUGAUGCAAAAGAGAAGCAUUUCUCAUGUUCAUUCUAGUUUAUAUUUUCAUUUAAAAUCUUUAGGUUAAGUUUAAGCUUUUUAAAAGUUAGUUUUGAGAAUUGAGAAACAAUACUAAUACUGUAGGAAUUGGUGAGGCCUUGACUUAAAGCUUUCUUUGUACUGUGAUUUCCUUUUGGGUGUAUUUUGCUAAGUGAAACUUGUUAAAUUUUUUGUUAACUAAAUUUUUUUCUUAAAAUAAAGACUUUUUCACAA
rnacentral:lncRNA from 1 species